rnacentral:rRNA from 1 species
AGUGAACGCUGGCGGUAGGCCUAAUACAUGCAAGUCGAACGGCAGCACAGUAAGAGCUUGCUCUUACGGGUGGCGAGUGGCGGACGGGUGAGGAAUACAUCGGCAUCUACUUUUUCGUGGGGGAUAACGUAGGGAAACAUACGCUAAUACCGCAUACGACCUACGGGUGAAAGCAGGGGAUCUUCGGACCUUGCGCGAUUGAAUGAGCCGAUGUCGGAUUAGCUAGUUGGCGGGGUAAAGGCCCACCAAGGCGACGAUCCGUAGCUGGUCUGAGAGGAUGAUCAGCCACACUGGAACUGAGACACGGUCCAGACUCCUACGGGAGGCAGCAGUGGGGAAUAUUGGACAAUGGGCGCAAGCCUGAUCCAGCCAUACCGCGUGGGUGAAGAAGGCCUUCGGGUUGUAAAGCCCUUUUGUUGGGAAAGAAAAGCAGCAGAUUAAUACCCCGCUGUUCUGACGGUACCCAAAGAAUAAGCACCGGCUAACUUCGUG